rnacentral:rRNA from 1 species
CCUACGGGAGGCAGCAGUAGGGAAUUUUGCACAAUGGACGCAAGUCUGAUGCAGCAGCCCUGCGGAGUUGAUGAAGGUUCUCGGAUCGUAAAUCGUUUAUCAGGGAAUAAU